CUUGGACUAGAGGCUGCGCCUGGAGCCCAGCAAGUCCAAACCAGAGUCCAGACUUCAGCCGCUGGAGAGUCGUGUUUCACCACUGGCUGACGGCUGCUGGAUCCAGGUCACGCAGCCAGUAGAUGCUGACACGCCACAUCUGCACCCAGCCACAAUGAUCGCCAGUCCUCUGAAAUACCACAAUAAUACCAUGACAGUUCAACACAGAAACGACUUCAAUGACACUUACAAACGUAAAUACGUCCAUUUGUCAUAUGUCCAUUGGACAUUGGUGUUGCAGCACAUCAGGGCAAACAGCAGUUCUACUCAGUUGAACUCUGGUAUAAGAUCGGACAUCCGUUCGCAUGGAGACCACAUGAAUACUACAUUUAUGCAACAUUGUCGUGGAGUGAAACAUGAAAGACAUUAAAGCUAGUGUCUCGGUAAGUCAAUAUUCCUCGGGGGGGAAAAGGCUCGAAGAUAUAGACGACCCAGAGUGGCGCGUGAGAUGAUUCGCAGGGCGUCCGCAGCUGUCGACAUUGCGCGCCGGUUCAAGCUGUCCGCGGCAACACUGGGUCACGCGCUCUGCGGCGGCGUUGUCAUGGAGCUGUUUAUGAAAGUCGCUCGCACAUUGGUCAGCUCAAGUGACGCAUGUCGCUUCUCUGCUCAGCGAUUGGCUGGCCUCAACCCUGGCUGACCAAUAGCGGAGCCCGCCUGGUAUGAACUGCAGGAAGUCGACGCCGGAGCUUUAAACUGCGCUGGAAUUGAACACACUCCGUCGGGAUCGCUGGUGGACGGCUCGUCUUUAGUUUCAGCUUCCCUCGUGUGGCGCUCAGGUUGGCCUCCCACCCGUCUCGCCGGAGCUCGGUCUCUCGUGCACCAUGACUGACUCACCCGCCGUCUUGCGACCACAGACCCGAUCCAAUCAGAUCAACAGCGACUGUCUGAGAAGCAACAAUGUGAGCAACAAAGAACUGAGGUCCUCCAGGACCGGCUCCGCUCCUCCACCCAAGGAAAACUCUGAGAACCAGGAUCCGCUCAAGUCCAACACCAACAAGAAGACGGCAUUCAGGCCCAAAGUGAGUCGCCUGCCGGUGCCAGUGAAGUCUCUCCAGCCGCCGUCCCACAGUGGGUGGGAAGACAAGCCUCUGACGGGCAAAGCGACGAAGAAGAGGUGCACUACCCGACCGGUGCCCUUCAAUCUGUCGCAGCCCAGAGGCUCCAGAGUCAACAGCCUGACCUCACCAGCGCUUUUACAGUGCGCAGCGAGCGCUCAGACUUUCCGACCCAAGAGUAAGCCUGGGUCAGUCACGGCGUCGCUCCUCGGGCCAUCUGUCCCUGCGACCUCCGCUCACCGUGACAACAGCACGGCGCUGUCUUCCAGGGUCAAAGAUCCAGCUGUGACUCCGCAGGCCUGUGAGCUUGACCAGAAGGAGAAGUCGUCGAGGUCGCGCCAGCUUCUCCGGACUGCGCCACAGAGAGUGCCGGUCAAGCGGACCCAAGAGAAGACCCCAGCCACCCAGGGAUCUCUCAAGUCGGCCCAGUUUUCUACAGACCCAGCAGCUCUCAGGAGCAUUCUUCAGAACGAGGGCUUGAAGACCCCCACAGCCUGUCCGGCGAGGAACACCCCCCUCUCCUCUGCCCUGAGAGUUCCAGUCAGAAAAGCAGCAGAGUCGUGUGUCACUCCAGCGCAGCGGUGGAGCCCACAGCGCGUCCAGGACACCAGGCACAAGCCCAUGUCCUCCAUGAAAUGGUUUCAUUCCUGCCCUUCACACAGAGUGGGGAACCGCAGUACCUGCCAACUGCCGCGAGAGGCCGUGGUCCAAAGACUGUUUGAGGACCCCCCGAGCCAAGAGCAGGAUCCCGUGAGCCAGGAGCUGCAUCAGUCUGCAUCCACAACCGAAGUCACCAGGUCUGGUCUGGACCAAUGUCCAGAAGAGUCUGGGCAGCAGCAGCCGCAGCCGUUCCUUCAGCACCAGCAGAGGGACUCUGUAAUUUUUUUCUCCACGGGUAAAAAGACAUUCAGAAGCUCGCACUUUGAGAAGAGACAGCACCACGUCAACCAGCCACAACCAGGACCCCUGACCUCUGCUGGCACGGAAGCCGCGUGUCUGCUGAAGCCGCCUCAAGGUAAUGUUUGUGUGGCACUUGCUUGUGCAAUCACCCGACGUCAGGGUUCUUCACCCUCUCUCUGGCCACGGCGCCUUGGUUGACAGCACCACAGGAGCCUGGGCCAAAGCUCACUGGUGCUUCAAGUCCUGUAGAAACUCCCUGUUGACUGGUGAAACACUGCAGCUACUGACACUGGCUUGUUCUGUUGCCAGGCUGUUUGCACAAACACAUGGCAGAAGAUGUCUUUGUUUCCCAUGUGUCCAGAAAGAGGCGGCAAUAUGGCUCAAUAGAUCAUGCUUCAUUGAUGUGUUGACUGACUUGAAAUCACUGUUUGGAUGGGAUCACUUCUCUUUUGCAUGAUGUGACUGUAGUUUCCAGACAAAUCCUUGGCUUCUCUGCCUGAACUUGCUUCAUAACAACAGUGAUUCUUCCUCUCUUCACAUGUAUUUGGUGGUGCGUUUAGUUGUUCAGAGCCACCUUUUAAAGCCCAGAGAAGACGUUGACAGUCCAUGAGCAUCAGUACAACAUGAGUAAAACUCUCGGUCCAGCAAGCGCACUGCGACAGCGACUCCCCCUGCUGGAGGACCUUCUACUAGACCUGGAGAUCUCCACCUACACCUCCAUCCCUGC